CGCCCCAUUACGCUCAUCCAUUCUCCUCUCUUGAAUGAACGCAUUGGUGCACAGCUGGAGCACCAUCCGGAGAUGUGGAUUGCUGCAGGGUUCCUCGUUGGUGGGCUAUGGGUGUCCUGGUAUGGUUAUGGGGGUCCUGUCAGGGACUGUGGGAGUCUGAGAACCUGGGGGGGCUAAGAGGGUAAGGGAGGUCUGAGGGAGAAAACAGGGGGGUUCAGUGGGAGCCCAGUUAGGGCCGUGGGGUGCUGCUGGGUACUGUGGUGCUCUGUGAGGUCCCAGGUUGCUGGGGGGAGGUGUACCGGGAAAAGGUCCUUGAGGAGCUAUGGGGCUCUGUGCGGGGUGUGGGAGGGAUAUAGGGACAUCGGGGGAUAUGGGAACACAGGCUGCAGGAGCAGAAUGCUGUCCAAGAGAAGACAAGAUGUGGGCUGCAGGUGGGAAACAGGUACAUGGCGUAGUAUGGAGACAUAGGGGGUAUGGGAGGAUGUGGGGAGCAAUUUGAGGUAAAAAGAGGGGGGGGGGUGGGGGGGGAGUGAGUUGUAGUGGUUUCAAUUCAUCCUGAGAGGGGACUGGGCGUCCCUGAGGCCCAAACGUGGGGCCCUGAGCCGUAACCCCACAUGAGCAAUAACCCAAGAUGACCUCAUCACGCUGUAUGUGCGUGACCCCAUGGCUGCACGCGACCCACAGCUCUGGGGGAACCAUACCCCCACAUGACCCUGUGACGCCCUGACUCUGCCUGCACCCAUCACGCUGCGACCCAAUUCCAUUUGGCCCCAGAACUCUGGGAUCCCUGCCCCCACCUCACCCAAACAUACAACCCAUGUGAUCCGUAACUCCAUGUCACCCCAUCUGACCCCAUCACUGUGACUCAGAACCCCACCUGACCCCAUAGCCCCCCAUCACCUUGUAACUCUCUGACCCUGCAGGACCCCCAUGUGACCCACAACCCCACGUCCUCACCCCAUGUGUCUGUAGAACCAGCUGCGUGUGGGGAAAAGGCAUCUCCUCCUCGGGGUGGGGCUGCCCCACAGCUGCCCCAGAGAAGCCAUGGGAUGGGCUGCAGCCGUAUGCCUCAGUUUGGAGAGCUGGGAACUGGCCAAAGGGGCCAGGAGAAGGACAUGAAUGCUUCUGUAGGGAAAUACCUGUCCCAGGGUUUGGUGGGUUGGUAGCUUCUGUUUCUGUAAGUGGAUGAGAACAGAACAAACUGAUCCCACUGAGACCGGGGAAGGGACUGGAGCUUGGCUUGAACCAGGAACGGAGCAGGGAUGGACUGAAGCAAAUCAACUCUUUCAUGGGACAGUGGCAGAAGAAAUCCAAGUCAGCUGCAGAACGAACAACACAACCCCUUACAAAAGGGCGUCCCAGACUGGGGCCGUUGCAGCAGUAGGGGCAGUGCCUCUUGCAAGGGAUCUCGCGGUGAGACUGAAACCUUUUCAAAAGGCAUUAUGAAACAUGAUUAGAUUAUUAAGCAUAAUCAUUAAACAUAAACAGAUAACCUAAACCCAAGGAGAAAACACGUUUCAGAUUGAAGACCACAAAAGCACCAUAUUCUAUUCCAAGACAACUUCAGUUCCAAUUUCAAUUUCAUGACUAGCAUUUCACCCUCCCUGCUGUGGAAGGGGGGAAAGGAAGGAAGGGAGAGCCUUCUAGCCCCACAUCCCUUUAGAGAUCACCCUAUAGCUCCAGAUCAUCCUGUGGACCCACACAGCCCCUUAGAGGACCACAUCCUCCAAACACCCCCUAUAGCCUCAGAUCUCCCUAUAUCUCCAAAGAGCCCAAAAGAGCCCCUUCAUAUCCUCCAAAGCCCUCUUUUAUCCCCCCCCAUACCUUCUCCAGCAUAACAUCCCUCUCUAGAAACCCUCUCCGGCCCUCUAUCAUCCUAUACCCUCACACAGCCCACCACAGCCCCCUAAAAACCCACAAUUGCCCCAUGUCUCCUUAUAUCUCCUCCAUAGCCCCCUAUAGCCUCCUACCCUACUAGAACCCUCCUACAGCCCACCCACAGAACCCUAUAGCCACAUAACCACCUAUAAACUUGCUAUAGCUCUCCCACUGCCUCCUAUAGCCUCCCCAUAGAACCAUAUAGCUCCCCCAAUACCACCCUACAGCGACAUAUUAUUCCCCUGUUCCCUAAAGCCCCAUAGAACCCCAUAUCCCCCCUACAGCCCUAACACCCUCCCUACAGUCCCCCAGCCUUUAAAGCCCCAUCACCCCUUACAGCUACCCACAGCCCUACACUGGCCCUAGACCCUCUCCAGAGAUCCCCACACUCUCCCAUAUCCAACCUCAUAUCCCCCCAGAACCCUACUAUACUCCAUAUCUCCUCUAUAUCCCCCAACAGCCCCCCACAGACACCCUAUAUCCUCCCUCAGGCCCCCACAAUCUCCUACAGCACAACAUCCUGCCCUAGAGCCCCCCCCCAACCCCUAGCACCCGCAACCCUCCCACAUGUUGCCACAAACCCCCAGAGCCACAUAUCCCCCUCGAACACACCUAUAGCCCUUACAGACCCCUCAGAGAACCGUGGAGCUCCUCCCAAAGCCCCCUACAGACCCAUAUCACCCCUAUACCCCCACAGCCCCCUAGAGAACCAAAUCUCCCUAUAUCCCCCAUAUAGCCCUAAAACUCUCCCUAAAGACCCCACAGCACCCUAGAGCCCCAUAUCCCCCACAAGCUCCCCACAGAUCUCUAGAUCCCAACCACAGCCCCCUCUUUUCCCAUAUACCCCAAUACCCCUUCUACAGUCCCCCACAGCUUUCCAGAGCCCAAUAGCCCCCCUAGAGACACAAUUAAGCUCCCUAAAACCCCACAUACGCAUAGAGCCACCCUAGCACCUUAUAGCCUCAUAUCCCCCAACAAACAGCGCAAAUCCCUAUAUACCUCUACAGCCCUCCUAAAGGCCCUGAUAGCCCCACAUCCCUCCCGAUAGCCCCCACAGAACACUACAGCCCCAUAUCCCCCAAUAUCCACCCCUAUAACCUACGACAGCCCCCUGUCGCCCCAAAGCCCUACCCUAUACCCCCUACAGUCCCAUUUCUCCCUCUGGCCUCCCCAUGGCCCCUCACACCCUCCCUGGAUUCCCAACACAGCCCCCUACAGCCCCAUCUCCUCCUACAACUCACGCACAGCCCUACAUCCCUCUAUAGCAACCCCUGUGGCCCCACAUCCCUCCAUCCCCCUCUAUUCCCAAAACCCACCGAUAUCCCCAUAUCCCUCGAGAUCCCCACACAGCACCCUACAGCCCCAUAUCCUCCCACAUCCCCCAAUAGCCCCCAAAGCCCCUCAGCUCCCACAUCCCCACCACAUCUCCGCCACUGCCCCUACACCCACAGACCACCUCAGCCUUGGGGGGCACCGCGAGCAGAGCUGGAGGCUCGGGGUUCCAGGCCCUAAUGGGGGCAGCAGCGCUACAGCGGUGGGGGCCCCGACUCCUUCAGCCGCCCCAAAUCCCCGCA
ensembl:lncRNA